GACGUAGGGGGCGAGCGUUGUCCGGAAUUACUGGGCGUAAAGAGCACGUAGGCGGGAAUUUAAGUCAGAUGUGAAAGACCGGGGCUCAACUCCGGGGUGGCAUUUGAAACUGAAUUUCUUGAGGGCAGGGAGAGGGGAAGCAGAAGUUCCCUGGUGUAGCGGUGAAAUGCGUAGAAAUCAGGAGGAAUACCAGUGGCGAAGGCGGCUUUCUGGACUGUCCCUGACGCUGAGGUGCGAAAAGCGUGGGGUAGCAAAAC
rnacentral:rRNA from 1 species